rnacentral:rRNA from 1 species
UGGGGAAUAUUGCACAAUGGGCGCAAGCCUGAUGCAGCCAUGCCGCGUGUGUGAAGAAGGCCUUCGGGUUGUAAAGCACUUUCAGCGGGGAGGAAGGCGAUAAGGUUAAUAACCUUGUCGAUUGACGUUACCCGCAGAAGAAGCACCGGCUAACUCCUUGCCAGCAGCCGCGGUAAUACGGAGGGUGCAAGCGUUAAUCGGAAUUACUGGGCGUAAAGCGCACGCAGGCGGUCUGUCAAGUCGGAUGUGAAAUCCCCGGGCUCAACCUGGGAACUGCAUUCGAAACUGGCAGGCUAGAGUCUUGUAGAGGGGGGUAGAAUUCCAGGUGUAGCGGUGAAAUGCGUAGAGAUCUGGAGGAAUACCGGUGGCGAAGGCGGCCCCCUGGACAAAGACUGACGCUCAGGUGCGAAAGCGUGGGGAGCAAACAGG